AAAAAGACAAACAUUAGAUUUACGUGCCAACGUUUGACUGUUUGUUUUAUAUGAAAAUUUUUUAUAAUUAGUAUUUUUGUUAUUGUUAGAUGAUAAAACAUGAUUAAUACUUUAUGCAUGACUUAUCUUUUUAAAUUUUUUUAUAAUUUUUUCAAAUAAGACGGACGGUCAAAUGUUAGACAUGGAAAUAAGGGUUUAUCUUUUU
rfam:Oryza glaberrima chromosome 12 Oglab12_0209_27, whole genome shotgun sequence.